rnacentral:rRNA from 1 species
UACGUAGGGUCCGAGCGUUGUCCGGAAUUACUGGGCGUAAAGGGCGCGUAGGCGGGCUGGCAAGUCGGUCGUGAAAUCCCUGGGCUCAACUCAGGGGGGUCGGCCGAUACUGCCGUUCUUGAGGGAUGCAGAGGAGACUGGAAUUCCCGGUGUAGCGGUGAAAUGUGUAGAGAUCGGGAGGAACACCGGUGGCGAAGGCGGCUUUCUGGUCUGCUCUUGACGCUGAGGCGCGAAAGCUAGGGUAGCAAACGGG